rnacentral:lncRNA from 10 species
UAAAAGUGCCUAGACCAGGCUUUCGUCACAACUCAUUUGGAACCAAAACUGCAGUGUCCCCAAGGCAUGCCUGUAGGUAAACAUGAGUCCAUACUGAUAAAUGAUCGAAUAAACAGGAGAGAAGAAACAAAUCUUCAAGAAGAAUAACAUGCACAGAUACUGCUCUCUCCAGGGGUUGGAGCUGAAACCUCCUCAACCCACAGAGUAUGGAAAGGGAAAAACAGGAACUUGACAGUGGAGAAAUCUGGCAGACACCACUGUGACCAGGUGGCCAAGGUCAGCACUGCCUGGGAUAGGUCGUGUGGUGGUUACAACCACCCAGUAGGAUGUGAUGAGAAAGGUGCUUGAGAAACACAUCAAACUCCAAUUGAGGGACAUUCUACAGACUACCUGGCCAGUACUCCUCAAAACUGUCAAGGUCAUGAGAAACAAGGGAAGUCUGAGAAACUGUCACAGGCAAGAGAACGCAAAGGAGAUGGGAUGACUAAAUGCAGUAUGUGCCUGGAUGGGACUCUGGGACAGAAAGCAGACAUUACGGAAAAACUGGUGAAAUCCAAAUCAAGGCUGGAUUUUAGUGAAUGGACACUAACAAUGUUGGUUUCUUAGUCAUGACAAAUGUACCAUGGGAAGAGAAGAGGUUACCAAUGGGGGAAACUAGGUGAGGGGCACACAUAAGCUCUCUGUACUAUCUCUGCCAUUUUUCUGUAAAUCAAAAAUUAGUCCAAAAUAAAAGUUUAUUGGAAAAGAAAAAAAAAGACAUAACAGAUGG